GUUCAGUCUGCUUAAUCUGUUUGCGUGGAUAUAUAUGACACAAGAGUCUUCUUACAAAACACCCGUUUCUGUCUGGUUUCUGGUUAUUUCUUCAAAGCUUCAUCGUGUGACAAAUGGCUUCUUGAUGCCUCAGUGCACCCCAUGACAGACAAAAGUGGCUUCAAACUGUGUAGAUGCCAUUUGCCAAAGUGAGUAGGACUACUUCCAAGAUUUUGCAUGUCUGUUCACAGCACCUUGACUGGAUCUCAUGACAUAACUUUGACCUAGCAGAAUGGAGGCCGGUGGGUCUUUGCAUCCAGAUGGAACUCAUUAAGGAUGAGAGAAGAGGAUACCGAUUUCUUGCAGACAGUCUAAUCAAGAGCAACAUCACAGGAACUUCGUUAGACAGUGACAUGACAUUAAUUAUUGUGAUUGUAUCGGUUGCUGCCUGUAUUACACUAAUUAUUCUCAUCCGCGCAGCAGUCAUUUGGGACAGACGCCAUAAGAAAAAGGAUCCUGGGACAGUUACACAAACAGACGUGCAUGUCCAUUCAAAUGUGGAAUUGGAGCAUUUUCAAUGUUUAUAUGGUCUUGGUAAUGCCUGCUAUGCUAUCAGUUAUGUACCCGCCCAAGGAGAGAUUGAGUCACUUCCUGUGUUUCCAAGAGACUGUCUGAAGCUUCAGAGGUUGUCGGGUAGUGGUGCCUUUGGAGAAGUUUAUGAAAGAGUUACAGUUGGCAGCCAAAAUUAGUGAAGUUGGAGAGGAGAGUGGCUGUCAAGGUAUACACACACACACACUGUGUCACAAACCGAUCUCUUCACAGACGCUGUGAAAGAUGCCAGAGACAAUGAGAAAACCAUAUUCUUAGAAGCUUAUUUGAUGAGGUAAAAGACAUGUUUGCUCUCAGAAUCAUGCUGAAAAUAUGAUUAUAAUAGGUAACAAAUGGAGCAAAACAAAUUAUGAUGGUGCCCCCUGGCCUAGAGCAAAUGGCUAAUUAACAAUGACACUGUUAAUUAGUGUUGUGGGAGAAAGUAAAGUAUAAAAGGGCCCAUUACUGAGAUCUGCUGUAAAAAAAAAAUUUCAGAAGUUUGGGGUCAGUGAGAUUAUUUCAUGUUUUUUAAAGAAGUUUCAUAUGCUCAUCCGUGCUGCAUUUAUUUGAUCAAAUGUACAGUUUUAUUACAAUUUAAAAUAUUGCAAUUUUCAGCAUUACUCCAGACUUAAGUGUCACAUCCUUUAGAAAUCAAGCAGUUCAAUCAAGAACAGAAAGUUCAAAAGGACAGUAUAACAUUAUAAAUGCCUUUUCUGAGACUUUUGAGCAAUUUAAUGCAUUCAUUCACUUAAUUUAAUUCAUUCAUUUAAUCCAUUGUCAUUUCUUUCUAAAAAAAAAAAAAAAAAAAAAACAUACUGACCCUAAACUUUUAAACAGUAAUGUAUUAUAUCCAGUGAAUAUGCUUUGGAACAAAGAUGUGUUUAUAUACUGUGCUAAUGCAUUCCUGUAGCUAGCAAAAUCAUGGGUUUUAUUCCCAGAGAAUACAUACAUGAAAAAUACACCUUAAAUGCAAUGUACUGUAAAUCUCUUUGGAUAAAUGUGCCUCCCAAAUGCAUGAAUGCAAUAUAUCUUAAUUAAACUAUAUUUAAUACACACAGGGAUAUUUUGCAAUUAAAGAACUGUCUGGUGUCAGUAAGAAGCUACACAGAUCCAGAAAAGGUCAUUAAAAUAGGAGAUUUGGGAUUGGCCCGUGACAUGUGUGAAGGUCUCCUUCCUGUUCACUGGAUGUCACCAGAAAGUUUAACAGAUGAUUUUCAAUAAAUAUUCUGAUGUCUGGUCAGUGUCUUGAGUAUUGUUGUUGCCAAAAAGGUUUUUUUAGUGACAUCUUUGGUUCCAUGUUGAACUGUGAACAUCCAUGGAACCUUUUAAUUGCACAAAAACGUAUUUAUCAUUGUAAAAAGUAUAUUAUGUAUAUUAAAUAUAUUUUAGACUAAGAAAAAAAUGGUUCUUUUAAUAACUGGUCACUGAAAGAUGACCUUCCAAAAAACCUUUUGAAAUCUUUUUUUAGCAAUGUAACAAGGAUUGUAUUCCUACAAAUUAUUUUCUUAUGAUUUUCACAUUUUAGGGCAUUUGGUGUGCUGUUAUAAGAGAUUGUGACAUUACGAAAGUUACCAUAUCCAAGUACACCAACCAUGAAGUUUUAAGCCAUAUCAGUAC